CCUACCUCAGGAUCUUUCUCCCUCUCAGUAAUGGUUUUAGCUACAUAUAUAAAUAGAAUCCAACGUUCAGGAAAUUUGUCAUAGCAAGAAAAAACUCUCAACAAAACUGACACUGUACUCGUAUAUUCCGAUCGAUUGGGGUGAAAGAAAACAUGAGCGCAGCUGCGAGAAAAGCUUGGAUUGUUGCCGCGAGCAUUGGGGCAGUUGAGGCGUUGAAGGAUCAGGGGUUCUGUCGAUGGAACUACGCCCUGAGGUCGAUUCAGCGACUCGCAAAGAUGAAUGUGAGAUCGUACUGGCAGGCGCAGAGGCGCCCUGUUUCGUCGUCUGCUGGUUCGGUGAUUUUUAAUAAGAUGAGAGAGGAGAAAGCCAAGAGGACGGAGGAGAGGCUGGGGAAAGUCAUGGAGUUGGACUGUUGGGGUCCCAGUACCAUCAGAUUUUAGAUGAAUCUGGCUUUUCUAUCGGCAGUUAUCGAUUCAAGUCGAAAAAACACGAGAAGGGAUGUCGAUUCAAUAAUGGGUUCAUUGGCCUGGUAGAUGUGUAGGAGGUUACUGCUUCGAAUUUUAUGGAGAGGAGUUUGAUUCUUAUUUGGGCAAAA